GGAUUCCCCUAGUAACGGCGAGUGAAGCGGGAACAGCUCAAAUUUGAAAUCUUACUGUUUCGCAGUACGAAUUGUAGUUUAGAGAAACAUUUUCAAGGCAGACUUUUAGUACAAGUUCUUUGGAACGAGACAUCAUAGAGGGUGAAAAUCCCGUAUAUGACUAAUUGUUCUGUCUUAUAUGAUAUGUUUUCCAAGAGUCGGUUUGUUUGGGAAUGCAGACCAAAAUGGGUGGUAAAUAUCAUCUAAAGCUAAAUAUUGGCGAGAGACCGAUAGCGAACAAGUACCGUGAGGGAAAGAUGAAAAGAACUUUGAAAAGAGAGUUAAAUAGUACGUGAAAUUGUCUAAAGGGAAACGCUUGAAACCAGUAUUGUGAGCAAGAAUUCAGCUAUGGUUUACUAUGGUUUAUUUUCUUGUUUACGAGUCAGCAUCAAUUUUGACUGUGGUAAAAAGCUUUGAGAAGGUAGUCUUCGGAUGUUUAUAGCUCAAAGUCAUGCCAUGGUUGGGAUUGAGGUCUGCAGUGUAAUUUAGGGAUCCAGUCGCCUCUUGAAGUAACGGCGUAAACUGCAUGCAGAUUGCGUUGAUUAUAAUGGAGCUCGGUUGGGGUACCAUACCACCACUUAGGAUGCUGACGAAAUGGUUUUAAGCGACCCGUCUUGAAACACGGACCAAGGAGUCUAACAUAUAUGCGAGUAUUUGGGUGGAAAACUCUUAUGCGUAGUGAAAGCGAAAAGGUGGGAUGCGUAAGCUGCACCAUCGGCCGCGCCAGAUUAUUGCUAUCUCGGCGUGAGUAUGAGCAUACAUGCUAGGACCCGAAAGAUGGUGAACUAUGCCUGAAUAGGGUGAAGCCAGAGGAAACUCUGGUGGAGGCUCGUAGCGGUUCUGACGUGCAAAUCGAUCGUCAAAUUUGGGUAUAGGGGCGAAAGACUAAUCGAACCAU
rnacentral:rRNA from 1 species